rnacentral:rRNA from 1 species
CAUAGGUUAAUGAGGCGAACCGGGGGAACUGAAACAUCUAAGUACCCCGAGGAAAAGAAAUCAACCGAGAUUCCCCCAGUAGCGGCGAGCGAACGGGGAGGAGCCCAGAGCCUGAAUCAGUGUGUGUGUUAGUGGAAGCGUCUGGAAAGGCGCGCGAUACAGGGUGACAGCCCCGUACACAAAAAUGCACAUACUGUGAGCUCGAUGAGUAGGGCGGGACACGUGGUAUCCUGUCUGAAUAUGGGGGGACCAUCCUCCAAGGCUAAAUACUCCUGACUGACCGAUAGUGAACCAGUACCGUGAGGGAAAGGCGAAAAGAACCCCGGCGAGGGGAGUGAAAAAGAACCUGAAACCGUGUACGUACAAGCAGUGGGAGCCUCUUAAUGGGGUGACUGCGUACCUUUUGUAUAAUGGGUCAGCGACUUAUAUUCUGUAGCAAGGUUAACCGAAUAGGGGAGCCGAAGGGAAACCGAGUCUUAACUGGGCGUUAAGUUGCAGGGUAUAGACCCGAAACCCGGUGAUCUAGCCAUGGGCAGGUUGAAGGUUGGGUAACACUAACUGGAGGACCGAACCGACUAAUGUUGAAAAAUUAGCGGAUGACUUGUGGCUGGGGGUGAAAGGCCAAUCAAACCGGGAGAUAGCUGGUUCUCCCCGAAAGCUAUUUAGGUAGCGCCUCGUGAAUUCAUCUCCGGGGGUAGAGCACUGUUUCGGCAAGGGGGUCAUCCCGACUUACCAACCCGAUGCAAACUGCGAAUACCGGAGAAUGUUAUCACGGGAGACACACGGCGGGUGCUAACGUCCGUCGUGAAGAGGGAAACAACCCAGACCGCCAGCUAAGGUCCCAAAGUCAUGGUUAAGUGGGAAACGAUGUGGGAAGGCCCAGACAGCCAGGAUGUUGGCUUAGAAGCAGCCAUCAUUUAAAGAAAGCGUAAUAGCUCACUGGUCGAGUCGGCCUGCGCGGAA